ACCAAGGAGUCUAACAUGUGCGCGAGCCGCGGGGCAGUACGAAACCCGUAAGGCGAAAUGAAGGUGAACGCCGGCGCGGUCCGGCGGAGGUUGGAUCCCGUCCCGUCGGGGCGGGCGCACUACCGGCCGAUCUUCUCCGCCCUGUCGGCGAGGUCGAGCGAGAGCGUGCAAGUCGGGACCCGAAAGAUGGUGAACUAUGCCUGAGGAGGUUGAAGCCAGAGGAAACUCUGGUGGAGGACCGUAUCGAUUCUGACCUGCAAAUCGAUCG
rnacentral:ncRNA from 1 species